AAUUCUCAACCCCUUCAGCUUUAGUGGCUGACUAGGUGGCUUGGAUUGUUGGGGGUCUUGCCGGCUGUCUUUGCAGUCAGCUCCCCUGAAAUGCAUUAGCGGAACCGUUUGCGAUCCGUCACCGGUGUGAUAAUUAUCUACGCCAACGACAAUGGAUGCUUUCUGUCUGUUCAGCUUCUAACUGUCUUCUCUGUGGGACAAACUCAUUUGAAA
rnacentral:misc_RNA from 1 species